UAUAGACUAGUGCUGACAUUUAAGACAUCCAGCCAUAAGUAAAGGCUUAUACUGUAGUACAGUGAAAGAAAGUUCGAGGCAGAAAACAAGGAAUUGCCCCCACUAUGGAUCGUAAAAUCACAGAAUCACAGAAUGAUUGAGUUUGGAGGGGAUGUCUGGGUCCAUUUGGUUUAACUCCUUUUCAAGUAGGGACACCUACAGCAGGUUUUCCAGCACAAUGUCCAGGUGAACAAAUCCCAUGUGCCCUUCCCUUCGCCUGUCCCAUUGCAGCAGCAUGACUGGAAGAACUGCUUCACAUUAACAAGCAGCUGGGAAACAUGUAGAUUGAACUCCUGAUCCAAAGCCCACAGUAAAUAAUAAGGUUUUGGUUCAUUAUCACAUACAAGAAAACACAGAUUUAUGUCAUGGCUGUAAAAUGGGGAGAAUAUUUAUCACCCAGCUCUGAUGUGGGAACCCUUGUGCCUAAAUUCAGCCUCUGAGGGAAAGCUGCUAUAGAGCUUCAAAGUCUUAUUUCUAUGAUUUGUCAGCCUGGCAACAAGUCCUUACCAAUUCUCCCAUUGUGAUUAUAUCCAAGGAGCUCAGGAAACUUUCCAGAUGCAGAGCGACAUGUUUUCCUGAGAUAAAGAUCUCUCAGGAAGUCUGAAGCUUGGCUGGAAAUGUAUUCUUCAUCUUCUGAAGCGUAAGUCUGGAAGCCCAGCGCAUCUCUGUCCUAGUUAUCAGGCUGAAUUAGAAUAUGCAGCUAUUUAUAAUGGAAACCUACAUCUUGGCACCAAAAAUAAAGGGGAAUAAUGCCUCCUGAGGAAUAAUAAUAAUAAAGAAGAAACAUACUAGAA